rnacentral:rRNA from 1 species
GACGAACGCUGGCGGCGUGCUUAACACAUGCAAGUCGAACGCUGAAGCUUGGUGCUUGCACUGGGUGGAUGAGUGGCGAACGGGUGAGUAAUACGUGAGUAACCUGCCCUUGACUCUGGGAUAAGCCUGGGAAACUGGGUCUAAUACUGGAUACGACAUGCCACUGCAUGGUGGUGUGUGGAAAGGGUUUUAGUGGUUUUGGAUGGGCUCACGGCCUAUCAGCUUGUUGGUGGGGUAAUGGCCUACCAAGGCGACGACGGGUAGCCGGCCUGAGAGGGUGACCGGCCACACUGGGACUGAGACACGGCCCAGACUCCUACGGGAGGCAGCAGUGGGGAAUAUUGCACAAUGGGCGGAAGCCUGAUGCAGCGACGCCGCGUGAGGGAUGACGGCCUUCGGGUUGUAAACCUCUUUCAGCACGGAAGAAGCGAGAGUGACGGUACGUGCAGAAGAAGCGCCGGCUAACUACGUG